rnacentral:rRNA from 1 species
CAGCCGCCGCGGUAAUACCGGCGGCCCGAGUGGCGGUCACUAUUAUUGGGCUUAAAGCGUCCGUAGCCGGGUUGGGAAGUCCUCCGGGAAAUCUGGCCGCUUAACGGUCAGAAUGCCGGAGGAUACUCCCAGCCUAGGGAGCGGGAGAGGCCGAGGGUAUUCCCGGAGUAGGGGUGAAAUCCUAUAAUCCCGGGAGGACCACCUGUGGCGAAGGCGCUCGGCUGGAACGCGUCCGACGGUGAGGGACGAAGGCCAGGGGAGCAAACCGGAUUAGAUACCCGGGUAGUCCUGGCUGUAAACGAUGCGGACUUUGUGUCGGACAAGCUAUGAGCUUGUCCGGUGCCGGAGGGAAACCGUUAAGUCCGCCGCCUGGGGAGUACGGCCGCAAGGUUGAAACUUAAAGGAAUUGGCGGG